UAACUUCUUAGAAACCAUGACAGCCUCUGC
rnacentral:piRNA from 1 species